AUGGUAGGAUAGAGGCCUACCAUGGUGGUGACGGGUGACGGAGAAUUAGGGUUCGAUUCCGGAGAGGGAGCCUGAGAAACGGCUACCACAUCCAAGGAAGGCAGCAGGCGCGCAAAUUACCCAAUCCCGACACGGGGAGGUAGUGACAAUAAAUAACAAUACGGGGUUCUUUCGGAUCUCGUAAUUGGAAUGAGUACAAUUUAAAUCUCUUAACGAGGAACAAUUGGAGGGCAAGUCUGGUGCCAGCAGCCGCGGUAAUUCCAGCUCCAAUAGCGUAUAUUAAAGUUGUUGCAGUUAAAAAGCUCGUAGUUGAAUUUCGGGGUUAGUAGGUUGGUCAUGCCUCUGGUAUGUACUGGUCUCACUGAUUCCUCCUUCCUUAUGAACCGUAAUGCCAUUAAUUUGGUGUUGCGGGGAAUUUGGACUGUUACUUUGAAAAAAUUAGAGUGUUUAAAGCAAGCUAACGCUUGAAUACAUUAGCAUGGAAUAAUGAAAUAGGACGUUCGAUCUUAUUUUGUUGGUUUCUAGGAUUGACGUAAUGAUAAAUAGGGAUAGUUGGGGGCAUUAGUAUUCAAUUGUCAGAGGUGAAAUUCUUGGAUUUAUUGAAGACUAACUACUGCGAAAGCAUUUGCCAAGGAUGUUUUCAUUAAUCAAGAACGAAAGUUAGGGGAUCGAAGACGAUCAGAUACCGUCGUAGUCUUAACCAUAAACUAUGCCGACUAGGGAUCGGA
rnacentral:rRNA from 1 species